rfam:Triticum aestivum genome assembly, contig: Triticum_aestivum_CS42_TGACv1_scaffold_434938_5DL
AUAGUACGCUCUCCGUUCCUAAUUACUUGUGGCAGAUAUGGAAGUAUCUAGAUGUAUUUUAGUUCUAGAUACAUCCAUUUCUGCAACGAGUAAUUUGGAACGGAGAGAGUAAUAG